UUUUUUUAAUUUGGUCUAUUUGAGUAAGGGUUUCACUAUGCAGUUCAGGCUGGCCUUGAACUUACUUUGUAUCCCAGGCUGAUUUCAACCUCGCUGCAAUCUUACUGCCUCAGCCUCCCCGGUGCUAAGAGUACAGGCCAGUGCCAUCACACCUGGCUAUUUCUAAAUUGCCCAACCUAGCCUGGAACUAGGGAUACUUUUGUCUCCACUGCCUGAGUAGCUAGGAUUAGAGAUGUGGAUCACCGUGGACAGCACGAGGACCUCUCUUACACAGCUGGUUAACAGAGCUACACAGCUCCCCUAUGCUCUCACAGCAUCAGGCCACACGGUCUACUUGCAUGACCCAGCACACAGCUGGCUAGGAAACAGACACUCAUUCGGGAUAGAUCUUAGUUUUGGCUUCCCUGGUACUAGCCAAGAUUUUUGCUCAUGCCCUCGCUGUGCAUGCGUGCCCUAUGUGACUGCUCUCCUGGGUAGGAAGCUGACCCUAGAAACUCCCUACUCCACAGAACUUGCACCCUGGGGUAAGAACUACAGGCGCAGAAACAUGAAAAUCUGUCUCACGGAGGACACUGGGGAAACUGGAGACGGAGGCCUAGACAAGCAAAGGAGAAAGCUUCCGGACUUCUUCGGUAACUUCCGGACGUACUUCGGCAAUGCCGAGGAUCUCGACAACUUCCGAGCUGGUGCCAUUUUGACUGAGGGCAGAAGCCAAAAAGGGAUGGAACGUGAAAGCGGACGGUGAUUGGUUCUCAGCGCCGCGGUUUGAGCGUGGGUGGGCCCAAUGCAGUGGGAGGCCUGGGAACGUUUCAGGAUUGGGACAAGAGCCUGUCGGGAAGGCGGGGCCUGGGCGGGCUCGGUGGGCGUGGCAAGGACGUCACUAGAGUUUGAUUGAGUCUUGGGGACUUAGGGCUGUGGCUCUCCCACGUGACCGCGCACCACUUUAUUUAUUUAAAGUUGUAACAACCCUGGAGUUCGGAAAAUGGAAAGAAAAAAAGCUCACCCCGCAAUGCCAUAUUCUAAAGCUACAGUAAUUUUGUAUGUAUUCUUUGGCAUCUUUUCUUUUGCAUAUGUAGUACAAUUGUGACUUUCACAUUGCUGGAUUUUUUCCAAAAAAUGCAAGAAGGAAGGCGAAGGGGAGAGGGUAAGGAAGGGAGAGAAAUUUGAGAUUUUUAAAAUUUUUUGUUUAAUUUUAUUUUAUUUGCCAUUUUGAAAGAGUCUUCCUAUGCAGUUCAGGCUGGCCUUUGUAUCCCAGGCUGGUCUCGAACUCGCAACGAUCUUUCUGCCUUGGCCCGUCAAGAGCUAGGAUUACAAGCCACCACCUUGCCCCGCUGAGAUUGAUUUAGAGAAAAAAGACAAAAGGAGGGAGUCCGAGUGUAGGUCACUGGUAAAGCUUGGCCCACAUGCUAAGAAGCCCUGGGUUCCACCCUCCACCCUCCAAAAGAAGGAGCAGAGCUCAAGAGAUCAAGAAACCCUUUGUGGUAUUGUUCACCUGACACACCCAAUAAAUAUUUGAGAAUAGAUGGGUGACAGAAAUGAGAGACUGGGCCAGGACUGUAGCUUAGCCGCUAAGCAUUGCCUGGCAAGCACAAGGUCAUGAGUUCGAUCUUCUGUUUAAAAAAAAAAAAAAUUCCCACCCAGGACGUGUCAGUUACAGAAAUGAGGAAGUGUGAUGGCUCAAACGUGGCUUCUUUCUGCCUCUGGAAACUUGCCGUAAGCAACAGCUGUGGGAGUUUUCUGCUCCCAGUGAAAAGACUAAGAUGAGCAGCUGGGCCCUCCGCACCAUCUUCAUCCCUUCCCCGUAACUGGGAAGGAUUAUCAUCUUUCCCAUGAGUCCAAGGUGCUAAGUGCUUCGAGAAUUCAUGCUGGUUUAUUUUAAGACAAGAAACCCUGGGGAGAGAGACAGCAUUUCUGAGGUGAAGGGGAAAUGUGCUUGUUUUUCCUGGAGUUUUUGGGGAGCAGUUUGGUUUUGGUUUUGGUUUUAACAACACAGAAAUUUUACAAAUUUUGAGCAAAAAAGGAGUUUUAUCUAAAAAUUAUUUCAGAAAAUAGAAAAAAAGAGGGAAAGCCAGUCAAGCAUGGUGGCAUAUACCUAUAAUCCCAACAAUUCAAAGGCUGAGUCAGGAAGAUUAUUGUGAGUUUGAGACCAGCCUGGGUUGCAAUGUAAGCUGAAGGCCAGUCUGAACUACAUAGAGAGACUCUUUCAAACCCUAACCAACAUGAAACUAAGGUGUUUGCUUUGUCUCCCCUCCCUUUUUUUUUUUUUUUUGGUGCUGGGUUGGAACUCACAACGUUGUGUUUGCCAAGUAGACGUUUACACUGCUGAGCUAAACCCCCAGGCCUGUCUUCUGAGACAAGGUCUUGCCAUUCAGUUCAGGCUGCUCUUGAGCUCACUUUGUAACCCAGGCUGGUCUCAAACUCGCAACAACCCUCCUGCCUCAGCCUCCCGAAAGCUAGGGUAACAGGUGUGCACUACCACACCCAGCUUUGGUUUGUCUUUUUGAGACAGUUUCACUAUACAAUUCAGACUGGCUUUGAACUCACUCUGUAGCCCAGGCUGGCCUUGCAAUCACCAUGAUCUUCCUGCCUCAGCCUCUCGUGUCUGUCACCAUGCUUGGUUUGUUUUGGAGACAAGGUCUCGCCAUAUAGUUCAAGCUGGCCUUGCAUCACACUGUAGUCCAGGCUGGCCUUAACUAAAUUGGUAAAGUGAUCCUCUUGCCUCACCCUCUUGGGUGCCCGGGUUACCUGCAUGUGCCACCACUCCUGAUAAGAUUGGUUUAAUCUUGAUUCCUGAGCCAGAUAAGCACAAGGCAAAAGAAGUAUGUACCACUUUUACUAACAAAUAUAGGUAUGAAAUAGUAAGCUAGGGGUUGAAGGUGUAGUUCAAUGGUUACGAUUUACCUAGCUGGUGGGAGCUUCUGAGUUGGAUCUUCACCAGAAAGAAAGAAAAAGAAAAAACUAAAUCCACUAGUUUAUAUAAAAAUGCAGUCUCCACAUUGCUAUGGAUUUUGCAUCUUCCAAAACUGAAACUCUACUCGUUAAAAAACUCUCCACUGGGGCUGGGGAUUUAGCUCAGCGGCAUAAGCGCCUGCCUUGCAAGCAGGCAGUCGUGGGUUCGAUCCCUGGUACCGAUAAAAAGGAAAAAGACAAAAAAAAAAUUGCAGAAAAAACUCUCCUCUGCCCCCCACCAUUCUUUGUUUCCAUGAAGUGAUUAUUCAGUUUCUUCCUGUGUCUGAUGUUUCUCUGAGCAUAUUAGUGUAUGUGGCAGUUAAUCCUAAUGUCGACUUCAUUGGCGUAAGAAAUGCCUUGCAGGUCGGUACAGUGCACGCCAGGUUAUGUGUCUACGUGGGUCAUGGAGGUGUGACCCUACGUACUAUACACAGUCCUCACCUGUUCCCCUCUGCCACUGUUCCCCUGCUCUGCUUUGCAGCCCACAGAAGCUAAGUAGCUUUACCCCACCAUACCCUUCUGACAUAGGGAUUAUAUAGGACCUCCAAAUAAGGAAAGGAAAGGGCCGGGGAUUUAGCUCAGUGGAAUAAGUGCUUGCCUGGCAAACAUGAGGUCUUGAGUUUGAUCCCUGGUACCUAAUAAUAAUAAUAAUAAUAAGGGACGGGAAGUAUAACUCCCAACCGGCUAGAUAUCUGGUACUCCAAGUUAGUGUUCUCUAAAACUGAAGAAUGAAUUCUAGGAAUAACAGAGGUUAAGAAGAAAAAAUGUUUACUAGAAGAAAGAAAGCUAUCUAAGAGAAGGGAUCCCAAGUGGCUUGCAGGGAUCCUGGUUCUUAAUGGGAUUUUCAAGCAAAACCAGGAAUUGAUGUGGUUUCUGGGACAAAACUAUGGUCAACCAAUAAGCUCACAAGUAUAAUGGCUACUUCCAAAUCUGUUAUACAGAUUCAGUGCGAUCUCAAUCAAACUUCCAAUAGCAUAUCUCACAAAAUUAGAGAAAACAAUCCUAAUACCAUUUGGAACCAGAAGAGACCUAGAAUAGCAAAGGCAAUCCUGAGCAACAAAGACAAAACAGGGGCAUCACAAUCCCUGACUUGAAAUUAUACUAUAAAGCUACUGUGAUAAAAACAGUGUGGUACUGGGAAAAAAAACAGACCCCAAGAUCAGUGAAACAUAUUAUAAGAUGCAGAAACCUCUGCAGACAUAACCUUUGACAAAGGUGCCAAACACCUUCACUGAAAGAAAGAUAUCCUCUUUAAUAAAUGAUGCUGGGAAAACUGGCUCUAUAUCUGCCAAA